CCCACUUCUGUGUGGAUCUCUUGUAAGGCUGCAUUUCGUAUCAGUUUCUUGAUGUCCUCCUUCAUGGAAGGAGACAAGUCCUCAUCUGAGUCGGUUCUGAGGUACACUUCACCAGAGUGAGGUAAAGCUCUAGGUUCCCCCUACUCCUGUGAGUUUUCAGAGGCCUUCUAUUCUCUCUGGGUGUGGUGUUAGGCGCCAUCUUGGCUGGUGUCGGCAGUGCAGGCCGCUCAAAUAAGAGUUUAAUGUCGGGGAAUUAUGGUCUCUCGGAUUGGAAUUGCCGCUUGUGUUUGUGCCCCAUGUUGUCUGCUGAGGGGUAGCGUAUAUAGAUUGCACUCGGUAAUUGCAGUAUUCUGCCAUAUUUAUCUCUGGUUGUGGGGCUUCGACUGAG